GGCCGGUUAGCUCAGUUGGUUAGAGUGAUGUGCUAUUGAUGCCAAGGUCAUGGGUUCGAUCCCCGUACUGGCCA